UACGGAGGAUCCAAGCGUUAUCCGGAUUUAUUGGGUUUAAAGGGUGCGUAGGCGGCUUAUUAAGUCAGGGGUGAAAGACGGUGGCUCAACCAUCGCAGUGCCCUUGAUACUGAUGAGCUUGAAUACACUUGAGGUAGGCGGAAUGUGACAAGUAGCGGUGAAAUGCAUAGAUAUGUCACAGAACACCAAAUUGCGAAGGCAGCUUACUAAGGUGCAAUUGACGCUGAGGCACGAAAGCGUGGGGAUCAAACAGG
rnacentral:rRNA from 1 species